rnacentral:rRNA from 1 species
AUUUGACGUUAGCGACAGAAGAAGCACCGGCUAACUCCGUGCCAGCAGCCGCGGUAAUACGGAGGGUGCGAGCGUUAAUCGGAAUUACUGGGCGUAAAGCGCAUGCAGGUGGUUUGUUAAGUCAGAUGUGAAAGCCCGGGGCUCAACCUCGGAAUAGCAUUUGAAACUGGCAGACUAGAGUACUGUAGAGGGGGGUAGAAUUUCAGGUGUAGCGGUGAAAUGCGUAGAGAUCUGAAGGAAUACCGGUGGCGAAGGCGGCCCCCUGGACAGAUACUGACACUCAGAUGCGAAAGCGUGGGGAGCAAACAGGAUUAGAUACCCUGGUAGUCCACGCCGUAAACGAUGUCUACUUGGAGGUUGUGGCCUUGAGCCGUGGCUUUCGGAGCUAACGCGUUAAGUAGACCGCCUGGGGAGUACGGUCGCAAGAUUAAAACUCAAAUGAAUUGACGGGGGCCCGCACAAGCGGUGGAGCAUGUGGUUUAAUUCGAUG